AAAUGAUCAUCGGAACAAAGCAGCCCUGCCUGCCUUGCUCCCAGGCUGUGCCAAAAUGUAAGACAGAUGGAUGGAGAAUUUUCCCCAAGAAUCAGGAAAAAGGGGAACAGACGCAUAACCACAAAGUAAAGAACAUCGGAUAAACUACUGGUUCCUGGUCUCCAGUCUCUCCAGUCUCUCCAGCUGGUCAUUGUCUUAGACGGAGCUCCUCAAGAAGCGAAUGCAAUGGCAGCCCGGAGGGUACGGGGUGUGUUUGGAAGGUGUCCACCGGAGGCACUUUGGAACAAUCUUUCUCGAAGAGAUUGUAGAGACUGGAACACAACCACUGAGCUCUUCCGGCGAGAUCCCACUGACGCCGUGAGAACUCCCGGCCUGCAGAACUGUGAGAAAUCAAUGUCUGCUGUUCAUAAGCCACAAGCUCUGGGCGUUUGGUUACAGCAGCCUGACCAGGCUAA